rnacentral:pre_miRNA from 1 species
AGCUUUCUGAGUCCGUGAUGAGAUUUCGUCAGACACCAACCCAUUAGAGCUGAUCAGACUUCCAAGAUAAAUGAAGUU